rnacentral:rRNA from 1 species
ACGCUCGACACCUACGGGAGGCAGCAGUCGGGAAUAUUGCGCAAUGGAGGAAACUCUGACGCAGUGACGCCGCGUAUAGGAAGAAGGUUUUCGGAUUGUAAACUAUUGUCGUUAGGGAAGAAAAGGACAGUACCUAAGGAGGAAGCUCCGGCUAACUACGUACCAGCAGCCGCGGAAUCUGAGCGGGCUGGCAAGGC